GACGAACCCGUGCGAACGUUGUUCGGAAUCACUGGGCUUAAAGGGCGCGUAGGCGGUACGCCAAGUCGGGGUGAAAUCUUCGGCUUAACCGGAAAAUGGGCCUUCGAUACUGGCGUGCUAGAAGGGGGUAGGGGCUGCGGGAACAUCCAGUGGAGCGGUGAAAUGCGUUGAUAUUGGAUGGAACGCCGGUGCCGAAAGGGCGCAGCUGGACCUCUCUUGACGCUGAGGCGCGAAAGCUA
rnacentral:rRNA from 1 species